CGGGAAGGAGGCCGCGCUCCCAGGGUUAUCUCGCCGCCUCAGAUGCCGGGAAGCCCAAGGAGCCCAGCCGCUUCUGGACGACGUUCAGCAAGGCCGCAGUGAUCCCUGCGCGGAGAAGAGCCUGCCUGCUCUUUUCCAAGGUAAACAGCCCAUUUCCUCCGUC
rnacentral:lncRNA from 1 species